rnacentral:misc_RNA from 1 species
GGGAUAUUUCUAUAAUGCAGUCAGGAUCAUACUACAGCAUGUCUGGGCAAACUCCUCAUGCCACCUAUCUCCCGUCUCACAGUGGACAUGCUUCUUUUAAUGCUGCUGCACCAUCAUCCCAUAUGCAGUUUUCGGGGUUGUAUCAUCCACCUCAGCCCGCUGCAAUGGCUAACCCUCAUCAUAUGGGCAGUGCCAUGGCUGGAAAUGUCGGGGUUGGUAUGGCUGCAGCUGCUCCCGGAGCUCAAGUGGGUGCGUAUCAACAACCUCAAUUGGGUCAUCUGAAUUGGACAGGGAACUUUUGAAGAAUGAAUAAAUGUCUGUUAAUUUUGGCCCUAUUUUAUGUGGUAUUGCUUAAGCUUAUAGAAUUUUCAUUUUCUUUUGGAAUGAGAAGCACAUAGUAUUUCCAAAUC